rnacentral:rRNA from 1 species
CAGCAGCCGCGGUAAUACCGGCGGCCCGAGUGGCGGUCACUUUUUUUGGGCUUAAAGCGUCCGUAGCCGGGUUGGGAAGUCCUCCGGGAAAUCUGGCCGCUUAACGGUCAGAAUGCCGGAGGAUACUCCCAGCCUAGGGAGCGGGAGAGGCCGAGGGUAUUCCCGGAGUAGGGGUGAAAUCCUAUAAUCCCGGGAGGACCACCUGUGGCGAACGCGCUCGGCUCGAACGCGUCCGACGGUGAGGGACGAAGGCCAGGGGAGCAAACCGGAUUAGAUACCCGGGUAGUCCUGGCUGUAAACGAUGCGGACUUUGUGUCGGACAAGCUAUGAGCUUGUCCGGUGCCGGAGGGAAACCGUUAAGUCCGCCGCCUGGGGAGUACGGCCGCAAGGCUGAAACUUAAAGGAAUUGGCGGG